rnacentral:rRNA from 1 species
GACGAACGCUGGCGGCGUGCUUAACACAUGCAAGUCGUACGGUAAGGCCCUUUCGGGGUUCCAGAGUGGGCAACGGGUGAAUAACCCGGGAAUUACCCGGCCACAACUUUGGGAUAAAGCCAGGAAACCGGUGCUAAUACUUGAUAUGUGCUUCCUCUGCAUUGGUGGGGUUUGAAAGCCUCGGCGGUUGUGGAUGGACUCGCGGCCUAUCAGCUUGUUGGUGGGGUAGUGGCCUACCAAGGCGGCGACGGGUUGCCGGCCUGAGAGGGUGACCGGCCACAGUGGGACUGAGAUACGGCCCAGACUCCUACGGGAGGCAGCAGUGGGGAAUAUUGCACAAUGGGCGCAAGCCUGAUGCAGCAACGCCGCGUGCGGGAUGACGGCCUUCGGGUUGUAAACCGCUUUCAGCAGGGACGAAGCUUUUUGUGACGGUACCUGCAGAAGAAGCACCGGCUAACUACGUG